UUUUCCUUCUUUUCUUUUUCCCUUCUUCUUUCUUCUUCAAGUCGAUAGAGGAGAUCGAGAUGGAGCAGAGAAGUUAGGGUUUGUGUCGAAAUUGAAGAAUCAGAGUAUGGGUUUCGAAAUCAUGAAUCCUAAUCUAAAUUUCUGAUUCUAACUCAGAGAAAGAAAGGUGUUGGUUAUGAACCCUUGAGUUGGCCAAUUACAGUUGGGAUUUGAGAAUAAUCGAAAAGGGGAUUUUGAGUGUUUCUUGUUUUGAUAUUUAAGUGACAUCGGGUGGUGGUUAUUACUUUUGAUACACCGACUACCAACUACUUUGAUUAUAGUAUCAUUUUACUUUGAUACAUAGAUUCUUGUAGAUGCAUUGACUUAUGAAGAAUCUUGGUGUGGAAAAAGAAAGUGCGAACAAAAAUUCCUAUUGACUUUUACUUACUCUGGUGCGUGGUGGGUAGAAGCAGAGAGUAAGAGACAAGAUAGAUUCUGAGUAGUUGGAUCUCCCUAUCACUCUUGGAAGCAGUACUGCUGUCACAGAGGAGUGGUGGUUGCAUCAUUUUUAGCAUUCCUCUCUCAAGCAGUGGGAAUCAUUGAACCAGUCAUAUGGCAACCCCUUUAGAAGGCAAAAAUCCACAGUUCCACACUUAGAAGAAUAUUGGUGAUGCAUGGCUGCUGGGAUAACGGAUUCGGAACUCGCCAGCGGCUAGCAUCAGGAUGGGGAAAUGGAAGAAAAUUCAAGAAAAAAAGAAAAAGAAAAAGAAAAAAACGCUCACUCAGGGCUGAAACACGACAUUCUCAAUGUAAUGUUAACGGGCUAAAAAUUAUCAAGUCCCACCACCUAGGAAAAAUCCCUAUCAUUUUGUUUAUUGAACCUAUCCAAGGAAAAAAAAUUUAGUGAUUAUAAGUGAAUGGGAAUUUCUUGUCACAUUGUAAUAAAUAAGACCACUUUUAAGGAAAAUGAGACAUAUGAGCUACCACCAUUUUGUGUAAUUCAUGGCCUGUUUCAAUCAAAUGAGUUGUUAUUUGAUUUAUACA